UACGAAGGGGGCUAGCGUUGCUCGGAAUCACUGGGCGUAAAGCGCACGUAGGCGGCCUCUUAAGUCGGUGGUGAAAGCCCGGGGCUCAACCCCGGAACUGCCUUUAAGACUGCAUCGCUUGAAUCCAGGAGAGGUGAGUGGAAUUCCGAGUGUAGAGGUGAAAUUCGUAGAUAUUCGGAAGAACACCAGUGGCGAAGGCGACUCACUGGACACAUAUUGACGCUGAGGUGCGAAAGCGUGGGGAGCAAACAGG
rnacentral:rRNA from 1 species